rnacentral:rRNA from 1 species
AAAUUGAAGAGUUUGAUCAUGGCUCAGAUUGAACGCUGGCGGCAGGCCUAACACAUGCAAGUCGAGCGGUAGCACAGAAGAGCUUGCUCUUUGGGUGACGAGCGGCGGACGGGUGAGUAAUGUCUGGGAAACUGCCUGAUGGAGGGGGAUAACUACUGGAAACGGUAGCUAAUACCGCAUAACCUCGCAAGAGCAAAGAGGGGGACCUUCGGGCCUCUCGCCAUCAGAUGUGCCCAGAUGGGAUUAGCUAGUAGGUGAGGUAAUGGCUCACCUAGGCGACGAUCCCUAGCUGGUCUGAGAGGAUGACCAGCCACACUGGAACUGAGACACGGUCCAGACUCCUACGGGAGGCAGCAGUGGGGAAUAUUGCACAAUGGGCGCAAGCCUGAUGCAGCCAUGCCGCGUGUGUGAAGAAGGCCUUCGGGUUGUAAAGCACUUUCAGCGGGGAGGAAGGCGGUAAGGUUAAUAACCUUAUCGAUUGACGUUACCCGCAGAAGAAGCACCGGCUAACUCCGUGCCAGCAGCCGCGGUAAUACGGAGGGUGCAAGCGUUAAUCGGAAUGACUGGGCGUAAAGCGCACGCAGGCGGUCUGUUAAGUUGGAUGUGAAAUCCCCGGGCUUAACCUGGGAACUGCAUUCAAAACUGACAGGCUAGAGUCUUGUAGAGGGGGGUAGAAUUCCAGGUGUAGCGGUGAAAUGCGUAGAGAUCUGGAGGAAUACCGGUGGCGAAGGCGGCCCCCUGGACAAAGACUGACGCUCAGGUGCGAAAGCGUGGGGAGCAAACAGGAUUAGAUACCCUGGUAGUCCACGCUGUAAACGAUGUCGAUUUGGAGGUUGUGCCCUUGAGGCGUGGCUUCCGGAGCUAACGCGUUAAAUCGACCGCCUGGGGAGUACGGCCGCAAGGUUAAAACUCAAAUGAAUUGACGGGGGCCCGCACAAGCGGUGGAGCAUGUGGUUUAAUUCGAUGCAACGCGAAGAACCUUACCUACUCUUGACAUCCAGAGAAUUUGCUAGAGAUAGCUUAGUGCCUUCGGGAACUCUGAGACAGGUGCUGCAUGGCUGUCGUCAGCUCGUGUUGUGAAAUGUUGGGUUAAGUCCCGCAACGAGCGCAACCCUUAUCCUUUGUUGCCAGCGAUUCGGUCGGGAACUCAAAGGAGACUGCCGGUGAUAAACCGGAGGAAGGUGGGGAUGACGUCAAGUCAUCAUGGCCCUUACGAGUAGGGCUACACACGUGCUACAAUGGCGUAUACAAAGAGAAGCGACCUCGCGAGAGCAAGCGGACCUCAUAAAGUACGUCGUAGUCCGGAUUGGAGUCUGCAACUCGACUCCAUGAAGUCGGAAUCGCUAGUAAUCGUAGAUCAGAAUGCUACGGUGAAUACGUUCCCGGGCCUUGUACACACCGCCCGUCACACCAUGGGAGUGGGUUGCAAAAGAAGUAGGUAGCUUAACCUUCGGGAGGGCGCUUACCACUUUGUGAUUCAUGACUGGGGUGAAGUCGUAACAAGGUAACCGUAGGGGAACCUGCGGUUGGAUCACCUCCUUACCAAGAAG